AUGAUUGAGACGGUUGCCUAUUUCAAAGAUAUACAAAAGACAGAUCCAGAAUUCUUCUACAAGGUCAAGUAUGAUGCAGAGGACAAGGUUGAGAAUAUAUUCUGGGUUGAUGGACCAGCACGAAAAGCCUACAAAGAAGCCUAUCAUGAUUGCAUAUGCUUUGACACGACAUACAUGACUAACAUGUAUAACAUGCCGUUUGCUCCAUUCAUUGGGAUAAAUCGUCAUGGGCAGACGUUCAUGUUGGGGUGUGGCUUUGUUAGGCAGGAGUUAGAGACAAGUUUUGAUUGGUUAUUUGGUACAUUCCUUGAAGCAAUGGAUGGUCUAGCACCA
rnacentral:rRNA from 1 species